AACCCGUCCCCUAAGUUUUGCAACUGUAGUAGUUUUGGUCCCCUAAGGCCAAUUUUUGAUUAAAAAAAAUAACACGUGACACCUCACUUAGGGUGCCACGUCAGCGUAGACUGGGUCAAAAUUGGCCUUGGAACCAAAACUGCCACAGAUGCAAAACUUAGGGGGCGGUUU
rnacentral:pre_miRNA from 1 species